rnacentral:lncRNA from 1 species
GGUUUUGGGAGGCAGGAGGUUCAUUUGAACCAAGUUUCUGCCGUUUGGCAGAAACCAGGUUCGGCAGCCGAAGGGAGUUUCGGCCGCCGAACCCCUCUUGUGAAGGCAGCUUUCGGCUGCCGAAGGUGCCCCCGAAAAGAGACUUUCGUCUCUGUCUGGCACUUUCGGCCGCCGAAGGUGCCGCCGAACCUAGCUGAGUUUCGUCUCUGUCCAGGACUUUCGGCCGCCGAAGGUGCCGCCGAAGGUGCCCUGUUCAGCCAUUUCAUGCAUAUUUUCUGUGAUGUUUUCAUGAUGUUUUGGGGGAUAUAUUAGAGAUAUGUUUAUAUGUGUUUG